ACCAUCAUGCUUUUUAGAGGCCUCUGCUCUGCCAGCCUGGGAGUCAUCUUCACCCUCAGGCUGGUAGACUCCAGUCUCUUAGGUCAGAAUGGGAUUAGAGACCCGUUCCUGAACCAGUCACACACAGCGGGUGAAACUGCUAUGAUUGGUUUAGACUUAGAGACUGGAAUGGAUGCUGGCCUAGAAGCGAAGACACAUAGAAGCAAUGUGUACCUAGACUGUUGUCCUAAAUGCCAUUUCCUACCAGGAAGGAACCAGAGUCUUUGCAGAAAUGUAUCAUUUCACAUCUGGUCCCCAGAUAGCAGAUGACUGGUAGGAAGAUGAGGCAAGUUUGCGGUCCAUUGUCAUGGAUAGUGGAGACAACACUGGGCCAGAAGUGGUAAGACCUGAAUCCAAGACUCAGCUCUGCCACUUGCUAAAUGGGACUUUGAAUAAACCAUUUCUCUGCACUUAAGUUCCUUACCAACAAAACGAGGGAAGUGGCCUACAUGCCUAGAUAUCAACAUUUCAUGUCACGUAGAGAUCUAGCAUCACAAGAAUCCAAGUCAUCCUCUGUUGCCUUUAAGAUUUCAGCAUGGUGAAGGAAAAGUAGCAGAAGACUGAAUGCAUACUCAGUUUUCAAGCUCUGGAUUUAAUCUUUCCAUAGCUGGAAUUGCCUCCUCCUCAAAAGCCUUAUUUGUUCAUUUAAUUGGGGCAACAUGAAAUAAUGAUGUAUCAUUGACAGAGAACAGGGGGCUUAGGUUCUCAUCUUGGUCCUAGUGAUUACUCUAUGCAUAACCUCAACUUCUUUAUCUGUACAUUGGGAACAAUAAUUCUUACUCCACUUGUUGUGUUGAAACUGAAUUAUAUAAUUCAUAAAUUAAAACACCAAAUUCUGAUAAAUGCUAAA
rnacentral:lncRNA from 1 species